CGAUCAAUGGCUAACCACCAAAUUAUCGACAAAGUUCAAGAAGAACAAAAGAGAAAACUCAAAAAGAAAUUUUAUAAAAGAUAAGUGAUAUGGUUCCGAAUACAUGGGUGCCUUUAUAUAGAGGCAAAAAAAGGAGACCAUCGGUCAUAUUCAGGGAAUUAAAAGACAUUAAAGACAUUAAAUGAAACUAAAUGACUAAGUACGUUGAAUAAUGAUCGGACUUCUGGCUGACCCUUCGCAUCCUUUUGCUAGACUCUUGAGUUUCUUCCUUGACCGUUAUACUUGGCCGCGAAUCGAACAAUGUUCGUGAGAUGGGCGUGCCUUAACCUCGUUAAAACCCCAUUCGGAAAACCCAGAGGGACAAAACCGAAUGUAAGGAAAAAGAGUAUUAAAACAACACCCCAACCAGGUCAGUUCAGACCAGAGUUCAUGAGAACGGUCAUGACUUUGUGAACGGGUGUUAGGUCGUCAGCUCGGCCUUGGUUCCUUAGCUCGGUGAGAACUUGUUGGAUUGCUCCCGUGAGCUUCUUGGUACGCGACCUGGUCAUCGGUCCAGUUGGCAUGGCCAGGACGUCGUUCUGGUCGGCUCCUCGGUUUUGUACCCCGUCCUGAACCUCGUCUUCGUUUAGCUCGGCCACUUGGUCUUGUGUUCCGGGCUGAACCUCG
rnacentral:lncRNA from 1 species